rnacentral:lncRNA from 1 species
CUUCUUCUUCAUCUUCUUCUUCUUCUUCUUCCUCUUCUUCAUCUUCUUCUUCUUCUUCUUCUUCUUCUUCUUCUUCUUCUUCUUCUUCUUCUUCUUCUUCUUCUUCUUCUUCUCAUCUGAUUGACCAUGUAAGUUGGUUGUCGCUCUCGAGUUGGAAGAGUAAUCUUAUUUUUUUCUCCCUACAUAUCUUACAAAAACUUCGAGGGAAAGUUUUUCAAAGUUUAUAUUGAUCUGGAGGGUAGGGAUUUUUCUAUGACUGAGAGGGUAGAUCUAAAUUCCCUUUUUAUUGGACCAAGUCCCUCACAUGGUAUAAACAGUAGCCUCGCUCGUCCACGAGCACCAAAGACUAAGAAGUUUUUUGUGUUUUUGACAAACUGUUGAGGAGGCUCCCUACUCGAGAGUUGGUGGUCAUUUAUUUGUUUAGUAGAUUUUAAUGGUAGGUGACAAAUUUAUUUUCUUUGGUCAGUUUAAACUUUUACUAACCUUGUGCUUUUUUGCAGGCAUAAUGCCUAAAUCUAUCCGAAGUUCCAAAUCUAUGAUGUUGGCGCUAAGGAAAGAGAUCAUUGGACAUCCAAGGGGCAGCCUCGAGUAUGUGACUUGAGAUUCUUUGGUCAACGUUAUCAAAUUGGUACCACCCUCGGGCGCCAAUGACCGAAGGAACAAGAAAAGAAAGGAGAGGACUACCAGGAGGUCUGCCCGAGAUUUCUAGAGACAGUUGACACUGCCUCCUCAUCCUCCUUCCUCACCCAGUAUAACAACUAAAGAGUUUGCUUCCUUGCUCCGUAUUGAACUCCAUUUUUCCAAAGGUGUUCAUGUUGGUUUGACACCUAAGAAGAGCAAGCAGUACGGUCAACACUGGUGAAAGAUCUGAUCUCAACUUGCAUUGAGUUGCAGAGUCGUGCUUUGUUGUUGACGAGGGUAAUCAAUGACGAGGGCAAUAAAGCAUGUCAAGGCUAUCUCCAAGUUGGAGCACAAGAUGAUCAAUGCUAUCAGCUCUCUGAAAAGGGCCUUAGAGGCCAAUUCUACCUUUGAAGGAAAAAUACGCAAGAAUGAUGUCAAGCUAAAUCAAUCUCGAGCAAAAUGCACUAACUUGGAGAAAAACAAUCAACGUCGAGCGGUUGAUAUGAAAGAGCUAGAGGACAAUCUUGAUGUCUCAAAUCAUGCUCGAGAGGAGAUGGUUGUUGAAGUUGAGCUCCAUAACUCAAAAAGUCAUAUUAUUUAUAUGUGCGAGGAGAGGUUCAACUAAGUUGUCACAUAGGCCUUCAUUCACAAUAACGGUGCACCUGAAGGAGGUGAAUUCAAUGUUAACAAAGACGUAUAUGAUGGGUGGAUAAUCCUUGUUGAAAAUAUCCCUUUUGAGGGUGAAGCGAGUGCUCACCCCGACUAUGUACGACGCAGACCAGGCAAAGAAAACAGGCACCUUGAUGGCAAUCAUCCAGCCACAUACAACCACAGGGAGGAUGAAGACAUAUAGUCUGUUUAUAAACUUACUUUCAAAUAUGAGCCUAAUUGGGUUUUUUUUCUUUUAUCUUUGUAGUCCUAAUCAAGAGGACAAUUCUAGAUUGAAGGAAUGUAUAGAGCAUAUCCAAGAAGACCUCAAAGUCAUCAAAACAUAAACUAGAGCUUUGGCCAGAAGUAUAGAAGAAGACUGAGUUUCGACUCACUAGUGAACAUUAAUUUUUAGCCAAGUUUAAGCUUAAAUAAAUUGUAUACAAAAGUUGUUUAGGGUUUCAAAGGCCAUGUAUUGGGCCUAGUAGCAUAAAAUAAUUGGACCAAAUAUUUAGGCCAAGUAGCAUAGGUUUUGGGGCUUGUAUUUAGCCAAUUGUAGAAUAGGUCUAGUUAGGGUUAGAAGUGUCAGGGUUACAAUUGGGCUUCUUUGAACCCAAUUUAACCCUAGAACGUCUAGAGUAUAAUAUAGGACGAAAAUUACCUUGAAAAGGAGCACAUGGAUGUCCACAUGGAAGUCUCAUAGUGGAACUUUAGCUUUUAAUGAGGAGCUUCCUUUACACUAGAGGCGCAUGCAAAUAAUCUUCAAGUUUUAAAGACGAAGUCAAUAAGCACUCAGCUGGACGCAAUUAAUGAGACUUCUCUUGAUGGGCUUUACUUGGCCACGUGGGAAACAUGAGUUGGAUGGGAGAUUCACUAGGGUCGGGUCCAAUUAUUGACGAGCUGGAACAUUCUGGUGUAAGGGUGGUAGGUAAAGGUGAUGUUGCAUGUCCAUACCAUGUUGCAGGUGGUCCUAACAAAAUCGUGGUGGAGCAUGUUACAUCUCCUAACAUUGUUGGCAGAGUGUCUCUAGGGAACGAGAAGCUAGACGGAAGGGGUGCUGACCAGAGGAGGAUGCACCGGUGUCUGUGAGAGUUGAGCGAGGAGUUGUAACCCCUCUGGUAGGGGUGGUUUCGGGCUUAGGGGUGGCUUCGGCAGUUUGUGAAGGUGUUAGAGGAGGACGAGAGCUCAAGGAGGGAAGGUUGUUGGGUCUUGUUGAAGCUAGUGUUUGUGAGUAGGGUACGGUUUUCUUACAGGAGGAGGCUCAUGUUGGUGACCUGUUGUUGUUGGAAGGGAAGAGGACAGACAACCCCUCAAAGGUGAAUUUAGGUAAGGAGGAGAACGGGUUGUAAGUCCUUGGGACAGAGUGGUGAAGGUGAAGGAAGUAGCCAGUAUCAUGGGGACAAACCCAGGUAAUCGUUCCCCGUGUAUAGCUUCAAGGAUGGUGAAAGGUUUAUAUGAAGGUAUGCUUGAAACUACAUAUAUUUUGUUCAAAGACAGUAAUUUGGUGGAUGUGCAGGUGGACCAAGCUGUUUUUUUUUUCAACAACCAGGUACUAGGAUUGAUUCUCUUUUCACGUCAGACAACGCAAUUGAGAAUUGUAAUAGAAUUUAUUGGGUGAAGAAUGAAAAGAACGAGUUUCUAGUGUUUGAUGUGUUGGUAAAGAAGCAUGAUUUUCUUUUCCCGGACGAGAAGGCGCAAUCAUAAAUAGUUUACAUUCUUUGACUAAUCGGGUCAGUGGCAAUACGAGGAAGUCGAUG